rnacentral:lncRNA from 1 species
AGAACAAGAUAAGCUUAAUAGAGUGCUGUGAUCCCUUAUGGCUAGCACGUCACCCAGGCAGGUCACCCAGGCAGGUGGCUGAGAAUGGGCAAUUGGCCUACACGCACCCCUGUCGGGCUGAAGCAGAAGAACCCAACCCCUCCUCCAUGGAGUCUGAAAUAGUAAAAACUGGGUAUGUUCCUGAGGACCAUUGACUUACGAGCUUAAACGGAACAAAGGAGUGCACCCUGAGCUUAUAAGAAAAGAUACUUGCAUAUAAGACAAUAGGCCCUGCAGAGGCUAUCUGGGCUUUUGAUGUUUUGCAAUAAAAAAUUUCUAGGAUCAAGGCCCAUUUUUAUGCAGUCAACUGGGGGUGGAAAGACCCCACAAACUACCUUUCCCAACAGCCUGUCUUCCUUGUUGAGAAAAUUCUCUCAAGGUAUUUACCAGCAGUAAGUUGUUUGAUCCUCUAGAAUGUCUAAUGUCAUCUUGAUGUUGGAUUAUUGUGUUACCAAGCUAACACAAGUGAUGCCAAGAAUAGCCUGAGAAAUGCAGCAGUAAGAUGGGGAUUUAUGACUGACCCACCCCCUUGCUGGCGGGUGAGAGGAUGCCAUCUCUGUUGGAAGGAAGAAAGGCCUGCAGAUACAAUAGAAAAGCCUUCACACAAAUCUGCUGGAGAAGUAGAUCCGGGUGAAACAGCAGGAAAACUGUCGUAAAAAUGCAUAUCUCAGAUCUCCUACUAGUAGGGUCAUAAGCAACCCAUGACUCCAGCUGCUGAGGUCUAAAUCUGUCACUACUUAUGCUCGGAGACUAUUUCCUGUGGAGGAAGUAUUCUUAACCAAUUACUGCAUUUGGCUGUGAUAUGAAAGUUGGCUCAGUCCUGCUGGAUGGAGGCUGAGGCAAAUGUCACAGAUGAUGGAGACAUGACCAGGGUGAUGGGAAUGGCGUUGAAGAGAAGUUGCCUGGCUUGAUAUGUAGUUGAAAAGUAGAACUUACAGGACUUGCUAAUAGUCUACAGAACCAGCCAUCAUGCCAAAGUGACUUUCAGCAUUGAACUACACCUCACAAUACCUGCAUUCUCUUUUUUACUACAACUUGCUGCAGAUUUCUUUUUUUUUUUUUUUUCUGGUAGCAGAAAUCCCCAUUUGAUGCCAAUUCCUCAUCAUCAUAAGGGAAUGUAAUCAAGGAUUCUUUCCUAAUAAUGUGAAUAGAUGUGCAGUGACUGACAGAGGUGGUACAGCGGGUUUAUUCUUCUUAUGGCAGUGAUCUUCUGACUGUAACCCAAGGGUGAAAGCUCAUGCACUCUUAGCAACAAGUAAAUUGUACGAACAUGCCCCAGAUAUUUCUUCAUUUAUUUGUAAAUUAUAUACAGUUUAGUCUAUUCUGAAAAUAUACAGUUUUUUAAAAAUUGUAAAACAAAUAUGUUUUUCUUUACUGUGUAAAAUUAAAUAUCACUGAGAGUAAAAA